GGGGGCCGCGAGCCGGGGAGAGGGCACCUCACAGCCGCCCUGGAGCGUCCAGACCUGGCGUGCGACAUGUCCGCCGGGGAAAGCGAAGGAUGGCGGGGCCGAGACAUUUUCCCCGAGCUCUUAAGGGGGCAGGGAGGGUGACAAUUGGCCUUGAGGCGGGCGCGGAAGACGCGGAGGACGCGAGCGGUGGAGUGAGCCAGCUAAACGCCAGGAGAUGAAAAGAUGUCCAGGUGGACGGGAACCUCCAUGGAGGUAAACGUCACUUGGCGGAUCCAGCAAUUCUUGUAGCCAACCGGUGGCUGUGAACCUUCUCCAGUCUCCAAGGACACGCCUCCCGUGCUUCCUUAACUCCAAGCCAAGGGUGAGCCUACUGUCAUCAUCUCACUGACAAUCUUCGUGUGUUUACAUUUAAAGCUGCUGACUGUUAAAACUCUAGCAGUCACAAAUGAAAGUGGGGGCAGGACACGUUUCCACACCUCUGUUG